rnacentral:rRNA from 1 species
AACGAACGCUGGCGGCAGGCCUAACACAUGCAAGUCGAGCGCCCCGCAAGGGGAGCGGCGGACGGGUGAGUAACGCGUGGGAAUAUGCCCUUUGCUACGGAAUAGUCUCGGGAAACUGGGGGUAAUACCGUAUACGCCCUUUGGGGGAAAGAUUUAUCGGCGAAGGAUUAGCCCGCGUUGGAUUAGGUAGUUGGUGGGGUAAUGGCCUACCAAGCCGACGAUCCAUAGCUGGUUUGAGAGGAUGAUCAGUCACACUGGGACUGAGACACGGCCCAGACUCCGACGGGAAGCAGCAGUGGGGAAUCUUAGACAAUGGAGGCAACCCUGAUCUAGCCAUGCCGCGUGAGUGAUGAAGGCCUUAGGGUUGUAAAGCUCUUUCAGCUGGGAAGAUAAUGACGGUACCAGCAGAAGAAGCCCCGGCUAACUCCGUG